UGGUGGAGUGAUUUGUCUGGUUAAUUCCGUUAACGAACGAGACCUUAACCUGCUAAAUAGUAACUGGAAGACUUCUACCAAACACGUUCAGGUCUAGGGUGAAGUUCCGAUGGAUCCCGACGCCUGGGCGUGUGGAUGUCUUCCAGGAUUACUUCUUAGAGGGACUAUCUGUAUUAAAGCAGAUGGAAGUUUGAGGCAAUAACA
rnacentral:rRNA from 1 species